rnacentral:rRNA from 1 species
CCUACGGGUGGCAGCAGUAGGGAAUCUUGCGCAAUGGGCGAAAGCCUGACGCAGCCAUGCCGCGUGAAUGAUGAAGGUCUUAGGAUUGUAAAAUUCUUUCACCGGGGACGAUAAUGACGGUACCCGGAGAAGAAGCCCCGGCUAACUUCGUGCCAGCAGCCGCGGUAAUACGAAGGGGGCUAGCGUUGCUCGGAAUUACUGGGCGUAAAGGGAGCGUAGGCGGAUAGUUUAGUCAGAGGUGAAAGCCCAGGGCUCAACCUUGGAAUUGCCUUUGAUACUGGCUAUCUUGAGUAUGGGAGAGGUGAGUGGAACUCCGAGUGUAGAGGUGAAAUUCGUAGAUAUUCGGAAGAACACCAGUGGCGAAGGCGACUCACUGGCCCAUUACUGACGCUGAGGCUCGAAAGCGUGGGGAGCAAACAGGAUUAGAUACCCUUGUAGUC